UGACAAUCGUGACCAGUGGUCACACUCGCACUUAACAGCAUAACCACAACCACACUGACGUUGGCCAGUUAUGGAGCGCCUGCUGUAUGCCAGGCCCUUCACCAGCCCCUGAAUCCUCCUGACCAUGCCCCAGGGAAGGUGCGAUCACUGUGCCCAUUUUCCCAACGAGAAAACUGAGGUACCGUGUGUCCAAGUGAGGAAUGGGCACUCUUUUUCUGUAAAGAGCCAGAUAGUAAAUCCCUUUAGGUUUUGCAGGCCACGUGGGAUCAGUUACAACCACUUGACUCUGCCACGGUCGUGUGAAAGCAGCCAUGGACCAUACAGAGGUGAACGGGGGCAGCCGUGUUCCAAUCAAACUUGCUUUACAAAAAGAGGAGCCGGGCCAGCGUGGGCCCUCAGGCUGCAGUUUGCCAGCCCUUGGUCCAGGGGACCUGCCCGCGACCCCACCGACCACGGUGCAUCAGCGACAGAGCCGUUCAGCAUCGGAACACGACGCUCACCCCCCUGGUCAGCGGUCACUUUACUGGCGAGGAUUAUGUGAUGGUUAAUGUGAUGCGUCAAGUUGACUGGCCCCGGUGCCCAGGUGUUUGGGUAAAUGUGACUUCCGGUGCGUCUGUGAGGAUGUUUCUGGGUGAUGAACCUUGGAUCCGUAGACUGAGCAGAGCAGGAUGCCAUCUCUGAUGCCGUGGGCCCCCUGCAGCCCCGGGAGGCCGGGACAGACGGAAAGGCUAGGAAGACAGAAUUCUUUCUGCCUGGCGGUCUCGGAGCUGGGACUUCGUCUUCUCCUGCCUUCUGACUCGGGUUCAGCCUGGAGCUUACCCCCACCGCCUUCCCUGGUUCUCUGGCCUCUGGACUUGGGCUGGACCCCCACCAGCGGCUCGCCCGGUCCCCAGCUUGCUGGCUGCCGGUCUCAGAUCUCUCAGCCUCCCUGAUCACAUGGGGAAACUGAAGGUUGCACCGUUGCAGUGAUUUCUGCAGGACCAUCAGCUCCAGAGCCGGCCCGGGGCUGGGGACGGCUGGGCUGGUGGCAAGUUCCAUGGGGCAGCAGUUGUGUCCAUGUGAUACUCUGCUGUGUCCCCAAAGCCUGGCACCUGGGGCUCCCUAAGGACUGUGGCAGAGUGAGAAGCAGCCAGGGAUUCCUGGCUCAACCCGAGAAACUUCCUCUGUGGGUCUCCAGCUCCCCGGAGAGGGCAGGAAAGCGUGCCCAACUCCCUUGUCUGUUUUUUUGCAUUUGGUUUCUUGCACUUUCUGUGGUUUCUGCUUGGUUUUGUUCCUGGAUGCCUGACGGAGUGGGGAGGGGGUGUGCACAGUUAAAGGGCGCCCAUGGGAGGAAGGGCCCUGUGUGCAAAAAAAAUAGCUCCCCUUCGCAGUGGGGACACAAAGAGCCCGACUGACCUCAGGAUUCCGAUGGAGCUGGGAGCGGGCUGCCGAGGCCUGGGGCGGCUCUGCUCUCUCCAGUAAGCUCGAAAGGGGUGGCCCACCCACAUGUGUACCACCACCCGCUUAUUCAUUUGUCCAUCCUUCCACCCAGUCAGCUGUCAGUUCAUUCUCUGUCACUUAUUUACUUAUCCGUUUAUUUCUAUGUUAAUUCAUUCGGAUGUCCUACACCUUUAUACUGAUUCAUUGAUCCGUCCAUCCAUCCACCCGUCCCAUAUUCAUCCA
ensembl:lncRNA